CCUACGGGAGGCUGCAGUGGGGAAUAUUGGACAAUGGGGGGAACCCUGAUCCAGCGACGCCGCGUGAGUGAAGAAGUAUUUCGGUAUGUAAAGCUCUAUCAGCAGGGAAGAAAGAAAUGACGGUACCUGACUAAGAAGCCCCGGCUAACUACGUGCCAGCAGCCGCGGUAAUACGUAGGGGGCAAGCGGUAUCCGGAUUUACUGGGUGUAAAGGGAGCGUAGACGGCGAUGCAAGUCUGAAGUGAAAGGCGGGGGCCCAACCCCUGGACUGCUUUGGAAACUGUAUGGCUGGAGUGCAGGAGAGGUAAGUGGAAUGCCUAGUGUAGCGGUGAAAUGCGUAGAUAUUAGGAAGAACACCAGUGGCGAAGGCGGCUUUCUGGACUGAAACUGACGCUGAGGCACGAAAGCGUGGGGAGCGAACAGGAUUAGAUACCCGUGUAGUC
rnacentral:rRNA from 1 species